rnacentral:rRNA from 1 species
GACAGAGGGUGCAAACGUUGUUCGGAAUUACUGGGCGUAAAGCGAGUGUAGGCGGUCUGAAAAGUCAGGUGUGAAAUCCCCGGGCUCAACUGGGGAGGGUCACGCGAUACUGAUCGACUCGAAGGCAGGAGAGGGUAGUGGAAUUCCCGGUGUAGUGGUGAAAUGCGUAGAUAUCGGGAGGAACACCAGUGGCGAAGGCGACUACCUGGCCUGUUCUUGACGCUGAGGCGCGAAAGCUAGGGGAGCAAACGGG